UACACUCCUGCGGGAGGCAGCAGUGGGGAAUUUUGGACAAUGGGCGAAAGCCUGAUCCAGCAAUGCCGCGUGAGUGAAGAAGGCCUUCGGGUUGUAAAGCUCUUUUGUCAGGGAAGAAACGGUGAAAGCUAAUAUCUUUUGCUAAUGACGGUACCUGAAGAAUAAGCACCGGCUAACUACGUGCCAGCAGCCGCGGUAAUACGUAGGGUGCAAGCGUUAAUCGGAAUUACUGGGCGUAAAGCGUGCGCAGGCGGUUUUGUAAGUCUGAUGUGAAAUCCCCGGGCUCAACCUGGGAAUUGCAUUGGAGACUGCAAGGCUAGAAUCUGGCAGAGGGGGGUAGAAUUCCACGUGUAGCAGUGAAAUGCGUAGAUAUGUGGAGGAACACCGAUGGCGAAGGCAGCCCCCUGGGUCAAGAUUGACGCUCAUGCACGAAAGCGUGGGGAGCAAACAGGAUUAGAAACCCCAGUAGUCCC
rnacentral:rRNA from 1 species